CCUACGGGUGGCAGCAGUCGAGAAUCAUUCACAAUGGGGGAAACCCUGAUGGUGCGACGCCGCGUGGGGGAAUGAAGGUCUUCGGAUUGUACACCCCUGUCAUGUGGGAGCAAAUUAAAAAGAUAGUACCACAAGAGGAAGAGACGGCUAACUCUGUGCCAGCAGCCGCGGUAAUACAGAGGUCUCAAGCGUUGUUCGGAAUCACUGGGCGUAAAGCGUGCGUAGGCUGUUUCGUAAGUCGUGUGUGAAAGGCGCGGGCUCAACCCGCGGACGGCACAUGAUACUGCGAGACUAGAGUAAUGGAGGGGGAACCGGAAGUCGCGGUGUAGCAGUGAAAGGCGUAGAUAUCGAGAGGAACACUCGUGGCGAAGGCGGGUUCCUGGACAUUAACUGACGCUGAGGCACGAAGGCCAGGGGAGCGAAAGGGAUUAGAUACCCUGGUAGUC
rnacentral:rRNA from 1 species